rnacentral:rRNA from 1 species
UACGUAGGGGGCUAGCGUUGUCCGGAAUCAUUGGGCGUAAAGCGCGUGUAGGCGGUCCGGUAAGUCCGCUGUGAAAACUCGGGGCUUAACCCCGAGCCUGCAGUGGAUACGGGCAGACUAGAGGUAGGUAGGGGAGAAUGGAAUUCCCGGUGUAGCGGUGAAAUGCGCAGAUAUCGGGAGGAACACCGGUGGCGAAGGCGGUUCUCUGGGCCUUACCUGACGCUGAGGAGCGAAAGCGUGGGGAGCGAACAGG